GUGGACUAGGGUGAAGCAGACGGGGUAAGACGUGGGGAGCAAGCGGUGGCCGGAUUUAUUGGGCGGAAAGAGAGUGUAGGCGGCCUGGAAGGUAAGCUGUGAAAACUCGAGGCUCAACCGCGAGACGUCGGGUGAAACCACCGGGCUAGAGUCCGGAAGAGGAGGGUGGAAUUCCCGGUGUAGCGGUGAAAUGCGCAGAUAUCGGGAAGAACACCCGUGGCGAAGGCGGCACUCUGGGACGGUACUGACGCUGAGACGCGAAAGCGUGGGGAGCGAACAGGAUUAGAUACCCCAGUAGUC
rnacentral:rRNA from 1 species